rnacentral:rRNA from 1 species
CCAAUAGCGUAUAUUAAAGUUGUUGCAGUUAAAAAGCUCGUAGUUGAAUUUCGGGAUCAGUAGGUUGGUCGUGCCACUGGUAUGUACUGGUCUCACUGGUUCCUCCUUCUUGUAGAACCGUAAUGCCAUUAAGUUGGUGUUGCGGGGAAACAGGACUGUUACUUUGAAAAAAUUAGAGUGUUUAAAGCAGGCUAACGCUUGAAUACAUUAGCAUGGAAUAAUGAGAUAGGACGAACGAUCCUAUUUUGUUGGUUUCUAGGAUUGACGUAAUGAUUAAUAGGGAUAGUUGGGGGCAUUAGUAUUCAAUUGUCAGAGGUGAAAUUCUUGGAUUUAUUGAAGACUGACUACUGCGAAAGCAUUUGCCAAGGAUGUUUUCAUUAAUCAAGAACGAAAGUUAGGGGAUCGAAGACGAUCAGAUACCGUCGUAGUCUUAACCAUAAACUAUGCCGACUAGGGAUCGGAUGAUGUUAAUUUUUUAAUGACUCAUUCGGCGCCUUACG